rnacentral:rRNA from 1 species
GACGAACGCUGGCGGCGUGCUUAACACAUGCAAGUCGAACGGGUCUGCCCUGUUUUUUGCGGGGUGGGUCAGUGGCGAACGGGUGAGUAACACGUGAGUAACCUGCCCCUCACUUCUGGAUAACCGCUUGAAAGGGUGGCUAAUACGGGGUGUUCUGGCUGUGCCGCAUGGUGUGGCUGGGAAAGAUUCACUUUUGUGGUGUUUUGGAGGGGGAUGGGCUCGCGGCCUAUCAGCUUGUUGGUGGGGUGAUGGCCUGCCAAGGCUUUGACGGGUAGCCGGCCUGAGAGGGUGGGCGGUCACACUGGGACUGAGAUACGGCCCAGACUCCUGCGGGAGGCAGCAGUGGGGGGUAUUGCACAAUGGGCGGAAGCCUGAUGCAGCGACGUCGCGUGAGGGAUGGAGGCCUUCGGGUUGUGAACCUCUUUCGCCGGUGAAGAAGGUCCUGCUCUUUGGGGUGGGGUUGACGGUAGCCGGGUUAUGAAGCGCCGGCUAACUACGUG